CAGCGGUUUCAGUCCUGUACAGUUCACAAGUUGGGGGGGACUGUAACUGCGGCCGCCCCCCCGGUGGUACCUGUUCUGGUCUGGGCUGGUCCUAACUGUGAACCGACAGAAUGAAGAUUGUAAUAAUGACUAUUCAACUUUCCAGCUGCAAUCCCCACAUUCUUGAAUUUUUUACAUCUAAAGACAAUGUAACAUACAAAAGAGUACUCUCCAAGCCAAUGUGAUCUCUUUGCAAGUCACGAUUUCCAACUUGCAGAUAAUUGUAGCUGAUUCAGGCAUAAACAAACCAACUCCAACCAACAACAAAAACAAUGCUUAUGAUUUCACUGCCAUUGGAGCUGAAGCAAUAGAUCAGUAACUGUUUCUUCAUUUGUCAUGCACAAACAGAACCAACUCCUGUACCUAAAUAGUUUUCAUGAGGUUGUCAGUGGUAAGUCUUUUAUCAAGGGGCUGCAGUGUUCAAGUUGGAAAUAGCGACUUUGGUCAUGGUUGAUGCAUCAGCACACCAUGUACUUUUCAAAAGGACCAAAUAGCUCCAACAUGCAAAACUUAAAAAAAAAAAACUUAAUGCCGUAUUUACUAUUAGCAAUAAAAUUUUGACACACUAUAUCACUGGUGGUAAAAACCUUGUAUAUAAUGCAUUUUAUAACUGUUUGACCUUCCCUUUAUGGUUUUGUACCAUCUGAUAUUCAUUCUCCUUCAGCUGAGAUCCUUGACAAUUACCUUUUUUUUUUUUAAUGAUUCAUAGUCAUUAGGAACUGAUGAAAUAAUAACAAUCUCAAUUUUGGUAAGGCAAAGUAGUCUUAGUAUUUUUUAAUUCAGUCAUCAUAUUACUAGUCUAACGAUGUAAUUGUACAUAAAUUUCAAAGGAGCCAGGUCAAUUUAUAUCUUCAAAUAUAUUUUUAUUACUUUGAAAAAUUAAAUGCUAGGGAAAACCUAUGUUCAUUCUAGUAAUUCCCGCCCGAGAUAGGUUUCACGUGAGAGUUCUGGCUUCAAGAUCAAUAGAGGACCACUUCACAAAGUAUAUUAUUAGUUCAUCUAGCUUAUAUGUUGACCUGUUUGUGUAAGUAGCAAUACCUUAAUGUUCAAUCUCUUUUUAGUUAGAUUAGUGAUCUCAGUUGUCUUAUGGAGUGAACAUGGGGUGGUAAUUGUUGUGUGUGGUUGUGUAUAUGGCUUAUGAAGUGAAACUUUUCAUACUCUAAUACAAGAUAUAACAGUAGAAAAUUUUCUAGCUAGACAAAUCAAUGGUACUGGGACUUGCUUGGGCAAGAAAAUUUUCCACUUUCAUGUUGUUAAGCUGGAUUUAUAAGAAAAAGGAGCACAUUACAAAUUCUUUGGUUAAUAUUGACCAUGACAGAGACCAUACUUGGUCCAAGGCGGCUUCCAGUCUUGGGUGAAACAAGGUCUUCGAAUC
rnacentral:misc_RNA from 1 species